CGUAACAAGGUCUCCGUAGGUGAACCUGCGGAGGGAUCAUUACACAAAUAUGAAGGCGGGCUGGAACCUCUCGGGGUUACAGCCUUGCUGAAUUAUUCACCCUUGUCUUUUGCGUACUUCUUGUUUCCUUGGUGGGUUCGCCCACCACUAGGACAAACAUAAACCUUUUGUAAUUGCAAUCAGCGUCAGUAACAAAUUAAUAAUUACAACUUUCAACAACGGAUCUCUUGGUUCUGGCAUCGAUGAAGAACGCAGCGAAAUGCGAUAAGUAGUGUGAAUCGCAGAAUUCAGUGAAUCAUCGAAUCUUUGAACGCACAUUGCGCCCUUUGGUAUUCCAAAGGGCAUGCCUGUUCGAGCGUCAUUUGUACCCUCAAGCUUUGCUUGGUGUUGGGCGUCUUGUCUCUAGCUUUGCUGGAGACUCGCCUUAAAGUAAUUGGCAGCCGGCCUACUGGUUUCGGAGCGCAGCACAAGUCGCACUCUCUAUCAGCAAAGGUCUAGCAUCCAUUAAGCCUUUUUUUCAACUUUUGACCUCGGAUCAGGUAGGGAUACCCGCUGAACUUAAGCAUAUCA
rnacentral:rRNA from 1 species